rnacentral:rRNA from 1 species
GACGAACGCUGGCGGCGUGCUUAACACAUGCAAGUCGAGCGGUAAGGCCCUUUCGGGGGUACACGAGCGGCGAACGGGUGAGUAACACGUGGGUGACCUGCCCUCAGCUCUGGGAUAAGCCUGGGAAACCGGGUCUAAUACCGGAUAUGACUCCAUGACGCAUGUUGUGGGGUGGAAAGCCUUGUGCGGCUGAGGAUGGGCCCGCGGCCUAUCAGCUUGUUGGUGGGGUGAUGGCUACCAAGGCGACGACGGGUAGCCGGCCUGAGAGGGCGACCGGCCACACUGGGACUGAGACACGGCCCAGACUCCUACGGGAGGCAGCAGUGGGGAAUCUUGCGCAAUGGGCGAAAGCCUGACGCAGCGACGCCGCGUGAGGGAUGACGGCCUGG